rnacentral:rRNA from 1 species
AGUGAACGCUGGCGGCAGGCCUAACACAUGCAAGUCGAACGGCAGCACAGUAAGAGCUUGCUCUUACGGGUGGCGAGUGGCGGACGGGUGAGGAAUACAUCGGAAUCUACUUUUUCGUAGGGGAUAACGGAGGUACACUUACGCUAAUACCGCAUACGACCUACGGGUGAAAGCAGGGGAUCUUGGGACCUUGCGCGAUUGAAUGAGCGGAUGUCGGAUUAGCUAGUUGGCGGGGUAAAGGCCCACCAAGGCGACGAUCCGUAGCUGGUCUGAGAGGAUGAUCAGCCACACUGGAACUGAGACACGGUCCAGACUCCUACGGGAGGCAGCAGUGGGGAAUAUUGGACAAUGGGCGCAAGCCUGAUCCAGCCAUACCGCGUGGAUGAAGAAGGCCUUCGGGUUGUAAAGCCCUUUUGUUGGGAAAGAAAAGCAGUAGGUUAAUAACGAAGUCUUCUGACGGUACCCUAAGAAUAAGCACCGGCUAACUACGUG